rnacentral:rRNA from 1 species
GAUGAACGCUGGCGGCGUGCCUAAUACAUGCAAGUCGAGCGAACGGACGAGAAGCUUGCUUCUCUGAUGUUAGCGGCGGACGGGGGAGUAACACGUGGAUAACCUACCUAUAAGACUGGGAUAACUUCGGGAAACCGGAGCUAAUACCGGCUAAUAUUUUGAACCGCAUGGUUCAAAAGUUAAAGACGGUCUUGCUGUCACUUAUAGAUGGAUCCGCUCUGCAUUAGCUAGUUGGUAAGGUAACGGCUUACCAAGGCAACGAUGCAUAGCCGACCUGAGAGGGUGAUCGGCCACACUGGAACUGAGACACGGUCCAGACUCCUACGGGAGGCAGCAGUAGGGAAUCUUGCGCAAUGGGCGAAAGCCUGACGGAGCAACGCCGCGUGAGUGAUGAAGGUCUUCGGAUCGUAAAACUCUGUUAUUAGGGAAGAACAUAUGUGUAAGUAACUGUGCACAUCUUGACGGUACCUAAUCAGAAAGCCACGGCUAACUACGUG